rnacentral:sRNA from 1 species
AGCAGCUUCUUUCCUGAAAUCUUGGGACCAGGUGGAGUUGCAAGACUGGGAUCUAGUCCUGGCUCUGCACAAUAGCUGUGGAGCCUUGGGAAGCCAUUUGAAUCCUCUGGGUCCCCAGUUCCUGUAGAAUGAGGGCUGGACUUACAUCCAAUGUCCUUUCCAGCUCUGAUACCAGUGGUCUAACCCAAGGAAGCACCAGUCUUAGCCAGAGUGUCUUCUACCCUAAGCUGUCCCCGUGAUACCCUUGAGGUCAGCCAUGGCACUUGGGGGAGCCUGGCACCUGCAUCCAGUCGGCCCACCCUGUCCCUAGGGCUCUGGAAUUGGUGGUGGGCUGGAGGCAGUGCAGACUCUGUAGGGAAAAUUGGGGGGGCAGGCAGCACUCACUGGCUGUUCUGCCCAUCCUUUGUCCCUAGUACGCACCAGAAGGCGUCCAGAAGAUCCUUAUUGGGAAUAAGGCUGAUGAGGAGCAGAAACGGCAGGUGGGAAGAGAGCAAGGGCAGCAGCUGGCGAAGGAGUAUGGCAUGGACUUCUAUGAAACAAGUGCCUGCACCAACCUCAAC